CCAAUACUGUUACUGGAAAGCCACAUCUUUCCAUUCUGACCUCCGGGCUGCACGUGGAGGAGGUGCUUCUGCACGUGUGCAUUUUCUACCCCAGGGCAUCUCCCCGGCUUCUGGAAAUGUGGCAGAAAGGGAAUACGAGAGUCGGAGCUGACCCCAUGGGACUACCAGCCUUGAGAGGACACACAUGCAAGUUCCAGCUCACACCAAGGCGAAGCGCCCGAGGAUGCUUCCCCACAGGCCCUGGGUCAAAGGCUCCGUCUUGAAAUCGAAUGUGUAGGCACAAACUUGGACUGGUUCAGAGGGCGCCUCACUUCCAAAGAUGUUGGCCAUUCCACUUUUGUAUCGCUUCCAUAUGGAGCCGAGAUUCCUCUUCUAUAGAUAAAAGAUAAUCAAGAAAACUUCUUUCAAUACUUUGCUGUAUAUGAUAGGAAAUAAAAAUUAUGCACCAGAUGUCAAA